AUUGAACGCUGGCGGCAGGCCUAACACAUGCAAGUCGAGCGGAUGAAGGGAGCUUGCUCCUGGAUUCAGCGGCGGACGGGUGAGUAAUGCCUAGGAAUCUGCCUGGCAGUGGGGGAUAACGUCCGGAAACGGGCGCUAAUACCGCAUACGUCCUGAGGGAGAAAGUGGGGGAUCUUCGGACCACACGCUAUCAGAUGAGCCUAGGUCGGAUUAGCUAGUUGGUGGGGUAAAGGCCUACCAAGGCGACGAUCCGUAACUGGUCUGAGAGGAUGAUCAGUCACACUGGAACUGAGACACGGUCCAGACUCCUACGGGAGGCAGCAGUGGGGAAUAUUGGACAAUGGGCGAAAGCCUGAUCCAGCCAUGCCGCGUGUGUGAAGAAGGUCUUCGGAUUGUAAAGCACUUUAAGUUGGGAAGAAGGGCAGUAAGUUAAUACCUUGCUGUUUUGACGUUACCAACAGAGUAAGCACCGGCUAACUUCGUG
rnacentral:rRNA from 1 species